rnacentral:rRNA from 1 species
CCUACGGGUGGCUGCAGUGGGGAAUAUUGGACAAUGGGCGAAAGCCUGAUCCAGCCAUGCCGCGUGUGUGAAGAAGGCCUUCGGGUUGUAAAGCACUUUCAGUGGGGAAGAAAGCCUUGGGGCUAAUACCCUCGAGGAAGGACAUCACCCACAGAAGAAGCACCGGCUAACUCCGUGCCAGCAGCCGCGGUAAUACGGAGGGUGCGAGCGUUAAUCGGAAUUACUGGGCGUAAAGCGCGCGUAGGCGGUCUGAUAAGCCGGUUGUGAAAGCCCCGGGCUCAACCUGGGAACGGCAUCCGGAACUGUCAGGCUAGAGUGCAGGAGAGGAAGGUAGAAUUCCCGGUGUAGCGGUGAAAUGCGUAGAGAUCGGGAGGAAUACCAGUGGCGAAGGCGGCCUUCUGGACUGACACUGACGCUGAGGUGCGAAAGCGUGGGUAGCAAAUAGGAUUAGAUACCCCAGUAGUC